rnacentral:rRNA from 1 species
CGAGCACGCGCGUGUGGCAUAUCAAUAAGCGGAGGAAAAGAAACUAACAAGGAUUCCCUUAGUAACGGCGAGUGAAGCGGGAAGAGCUCAAAUUUGAAAUCUUCAAGGUUUUACCUUGACGAAUUGUAGUUUAAAGAAGUGUUUUCUGUUGAAGUUUUGGUAAAAGUUCUUUGGAAUAGGACAUCAUAGAGGGUGAGAAUCCCGUAUUUGACCAUUAUUUUCAGCUGUGUGAUACACUUUCAAAGAGUCGGAUUGUUUGGGAAUGCAGUCCAAAAUGGGUGGUAAAUUUCAUCUAAAGCUAAAUAUUGGCGAGAGACCGAUAGCGAACAAGUACCGUGAGGGAAAGAUGAAAAGAACUUUGAAAAGAGAGUUAAACAGUACGUGAAAUUGUCAAAAGGGAAGCGUUUGACACCAGUGUUGUUUUUCCGAAAAUCAAUUACGAAUGUUUUGUUUUUGAGGAGUUAUGACUUCAUCGGCUUGCUCCUUUCUUUACGAAACUUUCUUAAUGCACUUUUCGGUUAACAAGUCAACAUCAAUUUCUUUUGUUGUAAAAGGGUAUGAGGAAGGUGGCUUUCUUUUCGGAGAAAGUGUUUAUAGCCUUGUGCCUCUGCAAUCGGAGAGAUUGAGGUCUGCAGCGUAGAUCCUUCGGGGUUAGAUACAGUUUGUGCUAAGUUAUAGCUUUUCAUAGACAACUUGUUGACUAUGUUUAGUCUUGUAGCUUACUCGCUGAUGCUAUUUUACCUACGCUUAGGAUGUUGAGUAGCGACAUACGCAC